CAUUAUUAUUCUCCUGCUCUUGUUGUAUCGCUGCAGACAGUCCAAGUAUUCCUGCUUCACCAGGUCGAUCCAGUCUGAGAGUCACAGUCCGGGCUCCUCCACAAAUCAUGGAGUCAACCAGAAUGAAACUCAUGAAUACAACUCUCUUCAUCCUGGUCAGUGAGGAGAGCUGUAGCAGCAAAGCCAAGAAGAAGCUUUUUAUGAAGCCACUCUUGCUCCUCUGCUCCCCAAAUAUCAGACAUGCUCAGCUUUAUGUACAGCUACAAUAUUACAUCAUAAUAUCAUGUACAGUACUUACUUAUAGCAAAAAGUAUAUGGAGGUAUAUUAAUAUUUGAGUUCUGUGCUUUAUAGUCAGAUAUUUCUUAUAUUCAUUCUUAAACUUUUCUUUUAAACCUUUUUCAAGAGAAGUGAGAACAAAGUUUGAAAUAUGUGAUCUUUAGUAGCUGAUUGCAUGACUCACAUUAAGAAGUACUGGUGUGGCCAACAACAAAUAUAUUUACUGUAUUGGUCUAAAUUGAUACAAAUGAUAUGAUCGGUACUGUAUAAAUUUAAAUGCAAUAAAUAUGUUUCAUUUAUUUUUUUUUUCUGUUUUUUUUUUCUAUUUUAUAAUUUUCUACAUGUAUAGUUAGAAGGUUUACAUUUGAAUGUUUUAUGUUGACUUUGGUUCAGUGUAUAAGAUUAUUUCCAAACUAACAACACAACAAGAGGUUAACAGGAGCUUCCACUACAGGAGACUGUAAUGUUAAAUUUAGUCUAUAACAUUUUCUGUUGUCCAAAUGGUAAUUCAAAAUGACCCCGUGAACCACAGUAAUAGGUUUGUACUUCAUGUAAUACUUUAUUUUAAAAUUAUUACA